CAGACGCCGAAACCGGCUGGCGAUCAUUAACUAGUGCUUACUCCCGGGAGAGAAUGCAGGUUUUAAAGAGACGAACUCUUAUUUUUAUAAAACAGCCAGGACUGCAAUAGAAGAUGAGGGACCGGAGGCAGCGAGGGUCAUUCUGUUUCCCGUGGUUGUGUGGCUGGUAGGAGUUGGAGCUAGAAGUCAAGCCCAGGUCUGUCUGAUUUCUGUCCUUCCUCCUGUCCCAAGCUCACAGCCUGUCAGUGCUCUCCGUCCUGUCCCCUCCUGGCUCAUCAAGAAGCUUGCUCCAUUUGUUACCCUUCCUCUCUUUGUCUCUUCCACUUUCCCUCUCUCCUUGCUUCUUUCCAUCAAGGUGAUCAAACCAAAACAAGGGUCUCAACUACUGUAUGAAGUUGAAGUUUUUCAAAUGUUUGUCUGCGGCCAGACUUUGAUUCUGCAGAUUCAUAUGUUCACUUGUGUAUUGGAUAUCUCAUGGCCUCUCAAACAUCAAAACAAAACUUACCACUUCCCUCCACACUGGCUCUUCCUCUGGCGUUCUCUGGCCAGCCAGUGGCUCUGCCAGCCGCACAGUAGCCCAAGCCAGAAACUGGCAGCGGAAAGACUCAGAUUUUGGUUUCAAAUCCAAACUUACUAGACAGAAGACAUUUGAACCUCAAUUUCCCAACCUGAAAAGUGGGGGUAAUAAUUCUAUUUCACAGGGUUGCUUUCAGAGCUAAAUGACCAUAUUAGCUGCUUAAUAAUAAUUAUUAUUGUUGUCAUCACUGUCAUUGUUAUCGUCAUCACCUAUUACCCCCUCCUUCUUUCUAGUAACCUUUACCUACUUGCAGUUCCACCAAAACAUCCUGCACCAUCAUUUUAAUUUCUUUGAUUCUGCUAUUAACUUCUG
rnacentral:lncRNA from 1 species